rnacentral:lncRNA from 1 species
GUCAUCGUACGAACUCUAAACGUAAUAGACGUCUGUUUCACACCGAACGAAUAAUUUUAAUUGAUUCUAAAUUCAUACGGAACAAGUGAAUGAGUAAUAAUUUUGUUACUAAAAAAUAGUGAAAAAUACACGUAUGGGAAGAUGAUAAGAAAACAUUGUUAAAAUGUAUAUAGUGCACACAUACGAACAAAGCCGCAUACAAUAAUGAUCGAGCCACUGCUUGAAUUAUAGCGUGUGACUUUAAAGUACAUUUUCGGUUUUACUGGUGUCAGUCAUUCACUCUGUCUGCCAGUCAGUCAUCGUUGGUUAGUGGAGUUGUUAGUUAAAGAGCGAGAUACUUAGUGGUAUUGUUGUAGCUGCUGCGGCUGCCGUCGCUAGAGUAUCUCGAUCGAUUUACCUUUACCUGUCGUGUUGGCUACAUUUAUCACGAUCUUUUAGUUUAUUUACAACCUUCAAACAGUACGGUUGUGUUGUCUCACUAGCAAGGAAACAACAAUAUUUCUUCAAAUAGAACAAGAAAUUUUAAACCAACAAAAAGUUAGCAAUUAACGAAUAUUAAAAAAAUCAAGAACAAUCAAUAGUCAUAAAAACAACUACAUGUUAUUGUUUAAGAUAAAAAAUAAACACGAAAAAUAAAUCAAAAGUCAAGAACCAUUGAACAAAAAGCAAAAAUCUAAAGAAAAUAAGUUAAACAGAAAUAAUAGCAACAAAAUACAUACAAACACUUUUAUUUUUGUUGUUUUUCACUAUUUAUUAAAACGUGUCAAUAAAAAAUUGUCGAAUUGCUGUUAACAACCAAAGAAAAUAAGAACAAUAACAACAAUAAAUCUACUACGGACACAUAAUAGUUCAAUCAGAUCAAACCCUCCAAACAUUAGUGUACAUAAGUUUAACACCGUGAUGUGAAUUGGUUGUCUAAACGAUUUUAUUGUUUUUAUUCAAACAACACAAAAGGAUUGAAAAAUAAGUAUUUUUUGGGGUUUAAAUAGACAUUUUGUUAACGAAAACACCCAAAAAUUUUUAUUUUUGAAAGAUUUCAAAUGCAGAAGAUGAACAAAACAAAUAAGAAAGAGAUUGUAAAAUUUGGAUCGGUAUGGCUUAAAUAACUUUUUCUAUAUGGUUCCGUUACUAAGCUGAGAUUUCAAAGAGUUGAUUGCUGACGUAGUUUGUGAAUAGAGAAACAGUCUUUUAAAACUAUUUUUUGCACUUUUAAAUUAGUUCAGAGUCCAAAAUAAAAUAAUUAUAACUGUUGGCGAUGGUGAAUAUUUAGGGAAAUAAAGAAAAAAUAACUUAAACAGAAUGAGGACAUUAAUUCUUAAAAGAUACCAUAUUUAUAUUAUGGAAUAAACCUACUGAUUCUUUAAAAAUGCAAAUUAUCCUGUGAAACUUUUGAGGAAAAGAAACCUCUUAAGACGAAUAUGAUGAAAAAAAAGCUAAAGAAGGUCCAAGGAAACCAGCUGUUUUGGAAACAAUUUAAAAUAAUAAUGACAACUUUUACUCGAGCAGUUAAACGUUGCUAUAAAAAUAUUUGUGCCACAAACACCCAUAACUGUUAAAGCUAUGAAAACCGUCUGAAAAUUUGAAACACGUACAUACAUACAUCGAAUACGUCAAACAAUAAAAAUGAAUAACAUGGAACAUGUUGCAGCAACUUACAAUAUACAUAUAUACAUAUAUACAUAUGCAAUUAUCAAUGAAAAUGUUUUUCUAUUGUUGAUGUUGAAAAACAGACGUAAAAAAUAAAGAAUGCGUACCAUUGGUAGUCUGCAUCUAACAUAAAUAAUUUCGGUUUAUUAUUGUGUAUUGGUCAAUUGUAAAACGACAUCAGUAUAUGAUUGAACAAACCAAUAGCCAGCCAAUCAAUACAAAUCAUCUCUUAGAGUUGAUGUACUAUGUAUUUGGCAGCAGCAAUAGCAACAGCAUUAUAUUUAUCUGCAAAACUGUCUAAAACUCAUCAACAUAAUUUACUCGAAAACAAAAUUACAAAAAACAGUCAAAACAUCACUUGCAACUUAUAUAUAGUUAUAGUUACUUCAAAGAGAUUGCAACAACAGAAAUCAAACGAGGAAAAACAAAAAAGUAAUAAAUGACUCGUGCUACAUGCAACAUAGUGCUGUUCGAUUGAUACGCAAUUGUUGUAUUCGUCAUUCGCUGUUAUUGAUAGCGUACAAAUGUGUAUAUGAAUGUUGGUUUGUGUUUGUGUGGAUGGACAGACGUGUUUGAGUUGUAUUUUGAGGCGACCAUCAUAUAAAAAACGUGCCACAUUGAUGCGUGAUUGUACUAACAAUUGGAUGCGAAAGAAUCAAUUUUUUUCUUUGGUUACUGCGUAUGCUGUUUUGGCGACAUUAAGACUUGACGGAUCUAGUUUGUCUUUUUGUAAUGUUGCACAUCGUUGGGAUGUUUGGGUAUGGAUUUUUAUGUUACAGCUGGUGGUAGUUGGUAACUAUUAUUCGUUUAUGUUGUGCUUUAAGCCAAAAACGAAUCAUGAAAGAAAACAGAAAAUGAAAAAGUAAAACAUAAUAAACUGAAAAUAAAAUUGCAAUCACGUUUAAGAGGCCAGCUGUGUGUCGCUAUGCACCGUUAGUAAGAUCGCGCCAGCACAUGCCACCACCUGACUUUGUAAACAGUUCAAUUGUAAUGCUUGUUUUUUGACUUAAUUCCACAACAACAACACAUCUAAAUAUAACAAAAUUUAUCAAAAAUUGUAGUUUGAUUUUUUUUGUUGAAAAUUAUUGAUUUGGAAAAUAAAUCAUUAUGGUUAUAAAUAAAUUCUUGGAGACAAUUCAGGAGACAAACAAAUAAAUAUUUUCCCACUGAAGUUUAUUGAAUUUUUCAAAAUUCUCACGAAAAUGUUAUUUUAUAAUUUUAUGCAAAAAUAUACCAGAUUUUUUCGCAGUUUUAGACACACAAGUUUUUUAUUUGGCAAAUUAAAACGAUUGCAAUUCAUUGAUGAUUAAAAAUAAUUUUUGAAACAGCAAAAUUAUUCAAUUAAGUUUUAAGGAAAGGAGCAGAAUUAUUAAUAGCGGAUUUUGUUGAUUCUGCUACGUAUAAGUAUCGUCACCCUGUCUAGUAAUUGAGCCUUUGUAAUAUUUUAUCCUUUUAAAUUGGCUUAUGUUUUAAAUUUCUAUUAUUAUUUCUUUUUUUUAACUGGAGCAACUUCAUGACGUCCCAAACUAAAAACAUACCACUUAUUUUACUUUUCUCAAACUGUCCAGUCUAAUUUCGUUUGAAACACCACUUAAAUCGCUGUCUUGUCGACAGACAACAAACUUUGACCUCCUGUAAAAUACAAACAGAAAAACAAUUUAAUUGAAGAAUCAUGAUGAGAAAACAAACAAAAACGUAAAAUUGUCAAAAAUUUGUAUUUAAAACUAACUGGGAAAUUUUGUUGCCUAAAAGAAAUAAAUCUACAGUCUUGGUUUUUUAAACAAAGAAGGCACAAACAAUUUAAAAUAAAAUUGCCAGGUUUUUAAAAACUAAGGAAGUUGUUUUCAUCUUUUUUAAAGUUACUGUGAUCUUGGGUUAUAGCGUUGUUACCAGUAUUUAGUAUCACAAGAUUGAUAUUUUCUUGUUGGUUGCAAAUGUUACUGCAAAUUAAAUUCGAGUUUAAAUCCUUAUAUUUACUGAAAAAUAUACGUAAGUGGUAAUUUUUGUCACUUCUGAUAAGAUUUUACACAUUUAAUACGUCAACAGCUUUUAAAAUAAGGUAAUAAUCAACAAAACUAAUAAAUAAUUAAACCAAUAAAUACUCGCAUACUGGUGUUUACCUGUAAUAAAUAAAAAAAUAUUUAUAAAUAAAUAUUUAGUAAACUAUUGCUGUUAAUAAACGGGUUUUAUUGAAUGGUUUUAAAAGUCAGAAAAAGGUGAAAAAGAUGUUAAAAAGCAAAACAAAAAUAAAAGCAAAAAAAUCAUUUUUAACAAGACUAAAGUUCAAAUAACAAGUUUUUAAAGUCUUUUAUUCUGUGGAGAUUAAGAGAUCGUUAUAAAAUAUAGAUAUUUGUUUAAAACACAAUAUAUUUUCAAAAUGAAUAUAUUUAACUCGACUGUUUUACUAAGUGAAUAUGUAAAAAUGCGAAAUACGUUAAACAGGAUUAAAGUUCAAGUAACAGGUUUGUUGUUUAAGUCUUUUGUUUUAGUCAGUUGAAAAAAUGACAAAUUUAUUAAAAAUAAUAAUUAAAUCGUUUUUGAGGUUCAAUAAUAGUAGGUAAUAGUAGAUAAUAGUAGAUAGCUAAAAAAACUGAACUAUUUUCUGUUUAUAUGGAUAUUAUACAUAUGUAUAUAUCUAAAGACAAACAAAAUGUAUUUAAAACAAAAUACAUCUGGUUUAUAAUGAUUUCACUUUAUUGACUAUCUCUUUUUUAAACUUUUAUAUAUAUAUAUAUAUAUAAAAUAUGUAUAGAUUUUUUGUUUGUUUUUUAACCUGACACGACCACCACAAUUACAUCCGGUAAUUUAAUGUAAUUUUAUAUUUCAUUUCAAUCACAUGCAAUAUCUCUCUUACACAAACCAUCAACUAUUAGAGUUUUUUUUGUUGUAGUUAUUUCAUUUUACUACUACAACAAGUAUAAAUAACUUAACUUUGAUGUAUAUGUAUAUAUGUAUAUAGAAUUAUAAAAAGUUUACAUCUAUAUAAAAUCUCUAGAAUUUAGUUGGCUGUUGAUAUGAUUAGUUUAUGAUAUCUACAUCUGAUUUGAGUCUAGGAGUGCUGAUUAAUCGUAUGAUUAAUAUAUAUUAAGUAGUUAUAUAAAUUUUGUUAUCAUUGUAUUUAGCUUAGCGUUACUUGUUUAGAUGUGAAUGCUUGUUUAAUAUUAAAUAAACAAUUAUAAAAAUAUUAAAU